rnacentral:rRNA from 1 species
GUAACACUAACUGGAGGACCGAACCGACUAAUGUUGAAAAAUUAGCGGAUGACCUGUGGCUGGGGGUGAAAGGCCAAUCAAACCGGGAGAUAGCUGGUUCUCCCCGAAAGCUAUUUAGGUAGCGCCUCGUGAAUUCAUCUCCGGGGGUAGAGCACUGUUUCGGCUAGGGGGCCAUCCCGGCUUACCAACCCGAUGCAAACUGCGAAUACCGGAGAAUGUUAUCACGGGAGACACACGGCGGGUGCUAACGUCCGUCGUGAAGAGGGAAACAACCCAGACCGCCAGCUAAGGUCCCAAAGUCAUGGUUAAGUGGGAAACGAUGUGGGAAGGCCCAGACAGCCAGGAUGUUGGCUUAGAAGCAGCCAUCAUUUAAAGAAAGCGUAAUAGCUCACUGGUCGAGUCGGCCUGCGCGGAAGAUGUAACGGGGCUAAACCAUGCACCGAAGCUGCGGCAGCGACACUCAGGUGUUGUUGGGUAGGGGAGCGUUC